GUGGGGUUAGAUAAUUAAGAAUCAGGAAUAUCAGACAGAUUUUUCCACUAGAAAUGAGAGUUUGUCACUCCUAUAGGCUAUUUAUACAUUCAUCCAGUGGUAAUAUCAGGAAAGGGGAAUGAAUCUCUUCUCCAAAUCUUCCAGACAAGAAGCCCAGUUGUCAAGACCAACCAACAACCUACAGGUGAAAGCCUUCAUAAAAUGACUGUGUUCACUCUUUUCUACAGAAUGACCAGAUAUUAUCCAACAGUGCAAAAGGCUUCCUGUGUAACUACUGCUAGAAAGAAAGGCAAACUGCCAGUGGACACCAUCUUCGUCAUCACCAGCUUCCCUUCCCUAGCAGCCUUAUAAAGAGGAUGAAGAUACCUGAUUCUCUCAGACUCUCCUGCUGCAUCCUAUUCUCCACCACCCUCACCUUCUUCUUGUGAUGUCCAGUGGUCUCACUCCUCAAUGAAAAUGUCUUCCUUGUGCUGGGGAUUCCCAAACUGAGCAGAGGACUCCGGACACAGGCUCAUAAGUGCCAAAGAGAUGGUAAGCAUCACAGA
rnacentral:lncRNA from 1 species